AGUCGACGGCAGCGCGGGGCAACCUGGCGGCGAGUGGCGAACGGGUGAGUAAUAUAUCGGAACGUACCCAAGAGUGGGGGAUAACGUAGCGAAAGUUACGCUAAUACCGCAUACGAUCUAUGGAUGAGAGUGGGGGAUCGCAAGACCUCAUGCUCCUGGAGCGGCCGAUAUCUGAUUAGCUAGUUGGUGAGGUAAAGGCUCACCAAGGCGACGAUCAGUAGCUGGUCUGAGAGGACGACCAGCCACACUGGAACUGAGACACGGUCCAGACUCCUACGGGAGGCAGCAGUGGGGAAUUUUGGACAAUGGGCGCAAGCCUGAUCCAGCAAUGCCGCGUGAGUGAAGAAGGCCUUCGGGUUGUAAAGCUCUUUUGUCAGGGAAGAAACGGUUGGGGCUAAUAUCCUCGGCUAAUGACGGUACCUGAAGAAUAAGCACCGGCUAACUACGUGCCAGCAGCCGCGGUAAUACGUAGGGUGCAAGCGUUAAUCGGAAUUACUGGGCGUAAAGCGUGCGCAGGCGGUUUUGUAAGUCUGUCGUGAAAGCCCCGGGCUCAACCUGGGAAUUGCGAUGGAGACUGCAAGGCUUGAAUCUGGCAGAGGGGGGUAGAAUUCCACGUGUAGCAGUGAAAUGCGUAGAGAUGUGGAGGAACACCGAUGGCGAAGGCAGCCCCCUGGGUCAAGAUUGACGCUCAUGCACGAAAGCGUGGGGAGCAAACAGGAUUAGAUACCCUGGUAGUCCACGCCCUAAACGAUGUCUACUAGUUGUCGGGUCUUAAUUGACUUGGUAACGCAGCUAACGCGUGAAGUAGACCGCCUGGGGAGUACGGUCGCAAGAUUAAAACUCAAAGGAAUUGAC
rnacentral:rRNA from 1 species